CUCCUACGGGAGGCAGCAGUGGGGAAUAUUGCACAAUGGGGGAAACCCUGAUGCAGCAACGCCGCGUGAGUGAAGAAGUAUUUUGGUAUGUAAAGCUCUAUCAGCAGGGAAGAAAAAAGACGGUACCUGACUAAGAAGCACCGGCUAAAUACGUGCCAGCAGCCGCGGUAAUACGUAUGGUGCAAGCGUUAUCCGGAUUUACUGGGCGUAAAGGGAGCGCAGGCGGCGCGCCAAGUCUGAUGUGAAACCCCGGGGCUCAACCCCGGGCAUGCGUUGGAAACUGGCGGGCUGGAGUGCCGGAGAGG
rnacentral:rRNA from 1 species